GCUGGGGUAGCUCAGUUGGUAGAGCAUCUCCAUGGUAAGGAGAAGGUCGUGGGUUCAAUUCCCACUCCCAGCU
rnacentral:tRNA from 1 species